AAGAGAUAAUUAUUUCAUUGAAUAGGGUUUCAUCUUUAACCUCAGUAUAAGAAAAUUAGCUAGACAUACUUGAAUUGGGAGCAACAAAAUAAAUAAAUUCAGCCAUGGGAAAGCCGAAUUGCUGCAGAUUUUCUUCUCUGUCUUGAAUCCUUGCGUCUGCAGUUCUCCCUUCUGGCGGCUCUCCCUUUGCAAAAGCCAAAGUUCGGCUUUUAUAUCUUUAAUCCCUAGCCGAAUCCUUGUCAAAUAAUGAUAGCUAGUGACUUGCUC
rnacentral:lncRNA from 1 species